GACAGAGGGUGCAAACGUUGUUCGGAAUUACUGGGCGUAAAGCGCGUGUAGGCAGCUCGGAAAGUCGGGUGUGAAAGCCCUGGGCUUAACCUAGGAAGUGCACUCGAAACUUCCGAGCUUGAGUUCUGGAGAGGAAGGCGGAAUUCUCGGUGUAGAGGUGAAAUUCGUAGAUAUCGAGAGGAACACCGGUGGCGAAGGCGGCCUUCUGGACAGCAACUGACGCUGAGACGCGAAAGCGUGGGGAGCAAACAGG
rnacentral:rRNA from 1 species